rnacentral:lncRNA from 1 species
AGAACGUGUUUUUAUACUAUAUUUUUAUACUAUCUAAACACUAUUUUUACAUGUUAAUAAUAAAUAUUAUGUAAAAUGUAUAUAUCGAAUGUAUAUAACUAUGAUAUUUAUAAUUAACAAUAAUAUUAUGCAUACAAAUAUGUAAUAUGCCGACUUAUAAUUUCAUUAUUUUAUAUUUACAAAUUAUUCUUAUUCGUCUGCUUUAAAAUACUGCAUAUAUAUAUAUAAUAUUUUAAAUAAAUAGAUAUUUUAAAACAUUUUUCGAUAAAUAUACGGAUAUUUGUAAUAAAAUGUAAUUGCCUUCAUCCCAAUGUGCAUACCCAUCCUGAUAUUAGUCAUUUUCAAAACUAUUUAGGGCAGAUAGGGUGACUAGUACGCACAUUGGGACGCAGGGACUGACUGUGAUAACACAGCCUCUGGGAUGAGUCUGAGUGGUGAGGUACCAGCAGCAGCAGAAGCACCAGCAGCUGUGUUAGCGCAGAGGAGGCGCUUCCCCUUUAAUUUGCCCACGCUCCACAGCGGUAAGGAGUGGUGGCAAGCAGUACAGACCACUCUAGUCCCUUUGUAUGCGCAGCAGUGCCUAACUGCAGCCUAUACCGCUCGCUCUUACACAAUAAUUAUGAGUAAAAGACGAAAAGUUGGACUUUGACAUGAAAUGGCUCGCUCGCGCCGCGCCACUCCCUAACAUGAACGAGGAGAGCACAAAGAGAGGAGCCUUUUGCUGAAGCAUGUCACUGCAGACACCCCGCGCUUGCUUGAAGGGGUUAAAACACUGAUCACAGCCGGUGUGAUGUGUUUUUCAUGGGUGCAUGAGCCUGGAUUCUGAAUAUGUGUCCUGUAAUAAAAAAACAAACAAACAAAAAACUUGUUUUCGGGCAAUUGGAUAACACCUUAAAAACGGACGCUGUCUUUGCGCAACGGGGAAAGCAAACAAAAAAACAGCGAAAUGAUGACUGGGAACAUCUGAAACGUGAUGCUCUAUGGAUUUCUGCCCGUAAGAUGAGCGCGUUUGCUCAACAACAAGAUGUUGCCACUCCUCAGAGCAUCAUUUUGGCCACCAAACUCGAGCGGCCACACGUAUUCAGAUCUCUGAAUUGAGUCGAGACAACACUGUGAGGACACAGGGGGCGUCAGAUUUUGCUGACCUUAGCAUCUCUGGACCGUUUCGAUGGGAAGCUCUUUGCAAAUAACACCUUAAGGGAGUCCCCUUCGCUUGGCCUCUUUAAUUUCUUUGAGACAAGCUGCUGUAUGUUUCCCGUUUGUCCUGGAGGCGCAUACGCGCAGCGGUUGGGAGGAGGACCGGGAUCGUUGCAGUACCUGUAAUGAAUGGCUGCUGAAAGACACCACUGACCCUGGCAACGAGACGUUUUAUUAGUCCUGUCGGUGUCAUGUAAACAUAAUCAUUUGGCAAAUGAUUUCUCUGGCGCUUUGGGGACGCUUGGUGCUUGCAGGUAAGCUUGUGUAACCUACUCGUUGCUUAUUGGUGUUGCACUGUCUGUGGAUGUUGAGCUGACUGACUUCUUGGAAGCUAAGUUUUUUUUAUUAUUAUUAUUAUUAUUUUUUUGAAUAGCACACGGAGUAUGUUUAAUUAGUCACACUGCUAUGAUUAACGUGGUUGUCUGUGCUUUAGAUAACAUUCCCAGCUAAAAAGAAAUCUUAGUUUGUUGGUCUUAGCUGCUCUCUCAGCCUGUUGGAUGGUUUUGGGGCAUUUUUCAGCUGCAUGCUCAGACUGAGUAACCGGCUGGCCUGAUUGCUAAACCUUCUGAGCAACAGCUUAGGCAUGAUGAGAGACCAGCUUGAGACCAGGUUUAAGCAGUAGGGAUGCAGGCUUCAUUACAUUUAAAAUAAAUAACUGUCUAAAAUUAUUUCAAGAGCUUCUGCAGUAUUUAAAAAAAAAAUAAAAAAAUAAAAUAAAAUACAGCAAUACUGCAAUUAUUUUACAGCAUGUAAAUGUAUUUUUCCAACUACAACCCUAAAAGGUAUACACUGUACAGCCCUUAAUUGAUAAAUUAAACGUGCAUAAACGUACAUGUUAUAUAUAUAUAUAUAUAUAUAUAUAUAUAUAUAUAUAUAUAUAUAUAUAUAUAUAUAUAUAUAUAUAUAUAUAUAUAUAUUAGGGGUGUAACGUACGUGUAUUCGUACCGGACCAUUUCAGUACAGGGCUGUCGGUACGGUGCACCGAAUGAUCGAAUGCAAUAUUUUGUGUGCGGAACAUAGGUACAUUUUCGUGUUUCCAGACGAACAUAUUAAGUGGCGGAAGACUCCACGUACAGCGCAAAUCCCGCCCUGGAGCUAAUUUUUAAGUUUUCAAAAGGCAUCGCGCGAGUGUGAACAUCACUUCAACUAGGAAAAAAAAUUACCGUGAUUCAAACGCAGCUCCCGUCGGCAUUUAAACAGACCUUUGCUCUUAAUUCCGAUCGGGCCAACACUAUAACGAAAUCUGAGCAGGUCUAAAAACUGAAACUGUUGUUGCUGCACUUUACACUUUGGAAAAGUAUAUAUAUAUUUAAAAAAAAAAUUAUAUAAAAAAAAUAUAUAUAUAUAUAUAUACAUUUCAUUAUAUUUUAUUAUGUGAUAUUGGUUUGAGAAUGAGAGUAUUUUAUUUUAGUGGAGAACUUUGCAGCA